GUAAGUCUUUGAGGACGGGAGCCUUUAGGCAGUCACAAGGUUUCACUGUGGAAACAGUGAUAUUAUUGGAAGCCAUUGAAAGCCAUGCUGAAACCUGGGCUGUCUUGGCCUCUUAAGGCCUUAUUGGGUCACCUUAUUCUGCUGACCCUAACCCUGACUCCUGCUGAUACAGCUUUACUAUGUCAAGAGUCUCUGGUUAUUCUUCCCAGCUAUCAGGACCUUGAGUGUCACCAAUCCGUUUGACAUUUCUUGAACUUCAGAGACCAGAAUGCAGAAUUCCUAUCUCAUUUCAACCAGAGACAGGAUAUCCAUAUGUUGCCCAGGAAGGUCUCAAACUCUUGAGCUGAAGCGAUCCUCCCACUUCAGCCUCCUGAACUGCUGGGAAUA
rnacentral:lncRNA from 10 species